rnacentral:rRNA from 1 species
AAUCAACGCUGGCGGCGUGCCUCAGACAUGCAAGUCGAACGAUUAAAGCUCUCUUCGGAGAGUGUAUAGAGUGGCGCACGGGUGAGUAACACGUAAGUAAUCUACCCUCGGGUGGGGAAUAACAUUCGGAAACGAAUGCUAAUACCGCAUAAUGCAGCGGCUCCUAAUGGAGACAGUUGUUAAAGGAUUUAUUCGCCUGAGGAGGAGCUUGCGGCAGAUUAGCUAGUUGGUAAGGUAAUGGCUUACCAAGGCUACGAUCUGUAGCCGGUCUAAGAGGACGGUCGGUCACACUGACACCGAAUAACGGGUCAGACUCCUACGGGAGGCAGCAGUCGGGAAUUUUGGGCAAUGGGCGAAAGCCUGACCCAGCAACGCCGCGUGAAGGAUGAAGUAUUUCGGUAUGUAAACUUCGAAAGAAUAGGAAGAAUUAAUGACGGUACUAUUUAUAAGGUCCGGCUAACUACGUGCCAGCCGCCGCUG